AGAUUUACCUGGCAGGGGAGAUACCAUAAUCAAGAAGGUGGUUCACCUAGUGUGAGGCUCAGCCAUUGCACUCCGGCUGUGCUGACCCUUACGAAUUCCCCAAAAGUGGGAAUCUCGACUGCAUAAUUUGUGGUAUAGCAUGUUCUAUAUGUUAUAGUUAUUUG